AACGAACGCUGGCGGCAGGCUUAACACAUGCAAGUCGAACGAACGUAGCAAUACGUUAGUGGCGCACGGGUGAGUAACGCGUGGAUAUCUGCCUUUUGGUUCGGGAUAACCUUGGGAAAC
rnacentral:rRNA from 1 species